rnacentral:rRNA from 1 species
CCUACGGGGGGCUGCAGUGGGGAAUAUUGGGCAAUGGGCGCAAGCCUGACCCAGCAACGCCGCGUGAAGGAAGAAGGCUUUCGGGUUGUAAACUUCUUUUCUCAGGGACGAAAAAAGUGACGCUACCUGAGGAAUAAGCCACUGCUAACUACGUACCAGCAGCCGCGGUAAUACGUAGGUGGCAAGCGUUAUCCGGAUUUACUGGGUGUAAAGGGCGUGUAGGCGGGGGAGCAAGUCAGAUGUGAAAACCACGGGCUCAACCUGUGGCCUGCAUUUGAAACUGUUUUGCGUGAGUACUGGAGAGGCAGACGGAAUUCCUAGUGUAGCGGUGAAAUGCGUAGAUAUUAGGAGGAACACCAGUGGCGAAGGCGGUCUGCUGGACAGCAACUGACGCUGAGGCGCGAAAGCGUGGGGAGCAAACAGGAUUAGAUACCCGUGUAGUC